GCCGCAGUGGCGAAAUGGUAGACGCGCACGCUUUAGGAGCGUGUCCUUUACGGGAUAGAGGUUCAAGUCCUCUCUGCGGCA
rfam:Microgenomates bacterium GW2011_GWC2_46_7 TX64_C0003, whole genome shotgun sequence.